rnacentral:rRNA from 1 species
CCUACGGGGGGCAGCAGUGGGGGAUAUUGCACAAUGGGGGGAACCCUGAUGCAGCGACGCCGCGUGGGUGAAGAAGCGCCUCGGCGCGUAAAGCCCUGUCAGCAGGGAAGAAAAUGACGGUACCUGAAGGAGAAGCCCCGGCUAACUACGUGCCAGAAGCCGCGGGAAGACGUAGGGGGCAAGCGUUAGCCGGAUUUACUGGGGGUAAAGGGGGCGCAGACGGCGAGGCAAGCCAGGAGUGAAAGCCCGGGGCCCAACCCCGGGACGGCUCUUGGAACUGCGUGGCUGGAGUGCAGGAGGGGCAGGUGGAAUUCCUGGUGUAGCGGUGAAAUGCGUAGAUAUCUGGAGGAACACCGGUGGCGAAGGCGGCCCGCUGGACUGCAACUGACGCUGAGGCCCGAAAGCGUGGGGUGCAAACAGGAUUAGAUACCCUUGUAGUC